rnacentral:misc_RNA from 1 species
CUUGGUCAUUUAGAGGAAGGGCUUCAGAGCCGCCGGCUGUGUGGGCAGCUUAUGGAAGUAGUAGGCAGUGGCGGCGUAGGUGGGAAGCGCCAGAGCAUAGGCCUGGUCGACACCGGGAUUCCAGCGAGGAUCAUCAACAGAGUUGUCAAAGCUGAGAAUCUGCGACAGCAGCACAAUCCCAUUCAGAUCGACGUCGCGCAAAUCCGCAGCGAGAACGGCUGAUCGAGGCGUGCCGUAACUUUCUCCGAAGAGGUAUUUCGGCGAAUUCCAUCGAUCGUAUUUCGACAGGAACCGGUGGAUAAACCUGGCGAACGCAUGAGCGUCG